GACGAACGCUGGCGGCGUGCUUAACACAUGCAAGUCGAACGGUGAAGCCCCUUCCUUUUUGGGUGGUGUGGAGGAGUAGCGAACGGGUGAGUAACACGUGAGUAACCUGCCCCCUUCUUUUGGAUAACGGCACGAAAGUGUGGCUCAUAUGGGAUCUCCUGCGUCUGUCGCAUGAUGGGUCUGGGAAAGCUCUUGGGUCGGUGGGGGCUGGGCUCGGGGCCUUUCAGCUGGUUGGGGGGGUGAUGGCCUACCACGGCGGUGACGAGUAGCCGGCGUGGGAGGGUGGCCGGGCGGAGGGGGAAUGCGACCCGGCCGGGACUGGUACGGGCCGCAGCCGCGGGGAAUAGUGCACAAUGGGCGGAAGCCUGAUGCGGCGACGCCGCGGGAGGGAUGGCGCCGUUCGGGGUGUGAGCCUCUUUCGCCAGUGAAGGAGGCCCGCCUCGUUUGGGGGUGGGUUGACGGUAGCUGGAUAAGAAGCGCCGGCUAACUACGUG
rnacentral:rRNA from 1 species